CAGUUUAGUUUACAUCAGCAGCAGACUGGGGCAGACCAUUUAGAUGACCAGCUUUAAUUUCCACAAGACCUAAUUUAGAGGGAGGUUUGGAGAAUAAAUUAAAAACAGCACAGGUUCCCUAUGGGAUAGGGGCAUUAGGGAGAAGAAUUUGCUUGCAGCCCUGUGGCAUUUGCCAUGUCGUUGUCCAUCUAUGGGUAGAGACCAGAGAAGGCCUUGAGCCCCCUACAAUGCAAAGGCAAGCCCCAUAACAAAGGCUAGCAGCAUAGCCCCAUGACACAGCUCUUGACGCAGAAAAUCUUCUGUGCUAAUUACCAGCAACAAUGCCAAAGCAAGUCCUGACUUGGUGAUUUCACCUGUGCUGGAGUGACUUUUAACACCUCAAAAGCUGCUAUUACCUCUGAUGAAUUUACAACACAGGAAAAGAAGGAUGUCGCUGAGAGCUGAAGAGCUGACCAGGCCCAGACACUCUUUGCUUAAGGAUUUUCAAGAAGGAAAACAGAACAAAAUAGAACACCAACAUGAAAAUUUGGAGGUAAGCAUUUGGCAUGCUUAGCCAUUUUACAUGUUGAGUUUGAGAAACUACUGCAACAUCUACAAUUCCAGAGCCCCUGAAAGGGUCCAUUACAUGAGCUCUAAAAUAUCACAUCAGGAACCAAGUUUGAAACAUCAUCAACCUGUAGAUCCUGUUACAUGCUUGGUAGAGAAGGGAUGUAACACAGUAAAAGUGGAUAGGAGUAAAGCUAAAGACCUCUCUAGUCUAGCUGACAUAUUUACAGUAUGUCUGAAGGAACAGAAUGCACAUAAUGUGCCCAGAAAACAGCAGAAACUAAAUAAAGACAGAGUCAUUAAUACAAGUUCUAAUGGGAGAGGCUAAUCUAUUUACUGUUGCACUUUCUUAGCACGUGUUUGGACAGAGCAGGACUGGCUGCCAGUGCUUUCCAAUGGAAAGCAGGCAAAGACUGUAUUGAAAAUGAUUGAGGAUGGGGAGUAAAGAGAUAAAAGCCAGUGCUGAAGAUAAGCAGAGGGUUUGAGUUUGCACACAUCAAUGAAGGAGAAGAACAGCUGUGUGGCAUACAGUGCUAGGGAAAGGAGGGCCAUUUUUCAUUAAGAGGACUCCCAAAGGGGGAAAUAGAAAAUGAAUUAACAAUGAUUCUAUAAUCAAAACAAACAGAAAACUGCUGAGAGCCUGAGCGCAAGUCUGAAGUCUGCCCCUUCACACAGGCUACUCCUGUUCCUUGUGCAGCAUCACCUCCAACCAAGGUGCACUGGCCCACCCUUUCCUGUUAGAGCCAUCCCAGACUCCCCUCCCACUGAGCUACCGCUUCCUUUCCAGACUUUGCCUUGUUACUGGAAACUUCCUGAUCUUCCCAUGACUCACUGUAAACAUUCAGGACUCAUCCAAACCAUCACCUCUUUAGAGCCCUUUUCCUGGAUCCCACAUACCACAGUCACAGCAAUGUGUCUUACUGCUCCAUUUUCUAGCAAUCAUUCCCAUCCAGAACCAUGUUUUCACCUGCACAUAUAUUCUAUUUUCACCAGGAACUAAGGGAUUUGAGGGUGUUCAAUACUCAAUUUCCAACAUCUAAAACAGCGUGUGGCAUAGACAUUCAUCAUAUAAACUGUGAGAAAUCCAAACAAUAAUCACUAUCCUGAGAAGAUAAAUCCACAAAGCAGUUUUAAUUUCCUUUUUUUAAAUGCAUUUGAUGAUGUAAUUUGUAAAGGUCUGGGAGAUUUCAAAGAAAAAUGCAUUCUUCCUAACAAUACAAAAUAGUACAUACGUAUGGAUAUCAAGGAGUGGAUAUAGAGGGGGACACAGUAUACACUGUCCCUUCAUGGGCAUGUUUAUCCAGCAUUUUACUUAGCCAUAAACACAGCCAAAAUACCGCAAAACGUGUUCUUUUUUUUAUCAAAUCCUGCUCUAGAAGAGGAAGAGGGACAGAUGAAGUGAAAAUGGGAAUUCCCUUUAGUAUCCUUAAACAAAGACAACAGACGGAACAUGCUGGAGUAACUCUAGUACACUGAGAAGUUGGACCUAUCACUGAGUUCACCUUUACUAACCUUACCCUAACGAGUACUGGGUCAAGUGAUGGAUUCGGUGAUUCCAUCUGUGAAUAAAGACAAAUGCCUUUGCAACUGCCGUUGUUAAGAGAACACUAAGAAAAGUUCCACAAUGACCACCCUUGUUCCAACCAAAGGAGGAAGAGAAAGAACUCUACUGAGAUUUGAAAAAAUAAUAAUAAAAGGCAGGAUGAGUGGGCAAAGCUGAGAGCUAAAACCAUAGCUUGAACAUCCGUGACUCAUGCUUUAAUUUUCGUUUUGUUUUGUUAUAUCAGGGCUUUUUUGAUGCAGGUGCAAGGCUGGUAACUGACAGUAACCUGCCAGCCCACACCUGCAUGUCAUCUCGGUCAUGACAGGGGUGUGUGGCACUGGGCCGAGGCUGGAUCACUCGCCUCCUGGUGAGUGUGGGAGUAUGCCCGGGGCCCAGCAUCCCUCCCAUACUCCGCCACAUUUGCACCCAUAGGCCACAUGGUCCUGGCCAGGUGUGGGGGUUCCGGCGAGCCCCGAACCUUUGUGACCUGGCCCUCAGGGCUCGGGAAAACAGCCUACCUCCUCUGUGGCGCGAGCCGCCCGCUGGCCUGCAGACCCGGCUCCACGGUCCAGGCCGGCCGGGCUGGGGCGGGGCUGCAGGGCGGGACCCGCGGCUGACGUCAACGCGCUGAUCACGCAAGACGCUGCAGCUCCCCGGAACAGUGAAGAGGUACAGAAGACAGCAGAUUCGUUUGUGGAAUUGUCAUUCUCGUGACGACCAAUAAACGGCGCUGGAAGGAGUAAGUGGGCGGGUCUAUAACUAGACCGAGCCUCCAGAGUUCGUUAGCUUAAGCAGUUUACAAUUGCAGGUUGGAGUUGGUUUCAUCUUCCUGAUGCCGGCUUCGAUUAGUUGCUUUAUAGGGUUUAGACUGCUGCCAGUGAAAAGUAAUCCUGAGGGUGGAUUUCAAGCUCUGCCACCUUGGUUUGAGCUGUCCACUAAGAACUUUCUUAGGAUCACCAUAAAUCUCAACUCGCCCAGACUUACAUAGGAAAAUCUUUAUUUCUUUCUCUCUCCCAAUCCGUAAUGCAUAUUGUAUUUGCAUAAUUAUUAUACACGAAAUUGAGCACUAAGUGAUGUUUAUGCUUUUCCCAGUAGAUGGUUAGUUACAUUUUUCAAAAAAUGUAAAUGCCAUUAGCAGUUCUGAAGAUGCUCAGCCUGUUGGAGGAAAACAGUGUUGAAAUUAAAUACUUUUAUAAAAAAGUAAUUUUAUAUACGAGCAAAAUUUUUGAACAUUGUAAGAUGUGCAAAACUUGUGUAUAUACCAAUAUUUAUGUGAUGGGUCCUAGUGCGUUGACAUGUGACAAUAUUUGUAAACACUCAAGUUCUGAUCUUCAUGGUUUUUUAAAUGUUGUGCAAAAGUCCUUAGAACCAAUAGGUAUUAUUUGCCAUUUCUGUGCCCUCAGACAUACAGUUGUUUUUCUUUUAUUGUUAAUAGGAGAAAUGCUACCUUUAAAUUUUUUCCUAGUUCUGUCAAAGUACUGGCUAUGGUGCAGAUAAAAAGAGAACACACGGAUCUCAGGAUAUACGUGUCUUCAAUCCUAGCAGUAGAUGCCUCUGAUAAGAUCCCCUAGUGCUGCUGCAGUGUCCAUUUCCACUCAGAGCAUUUAAAUAAUCCUUUCUAGCAUUCCUUUGAAGAGAAAUUAGCAUGCAAGUUUCAUUUUGUUUUUAACCUAAAUUGAUAGGAGUGAAAAAAUUAAAGGACAAGGUGUUUGUAUAGAUACAAACUAAGUGCAGGAAUUUUGUGUGAAAUUAUUUGGGUGAUGAGGUGAAGCAGCUUGUGUAACUGCUGUAACGCAGAAGCCUUCUUGGUAGAAAUUAAAACAGUACACCCUGUUCUGAAAUUACCGCCACUUCCAUUUGUUUCCCCUGAUUUCAGACAAUCCAGACAAUGGACAAAAUCUGAGUGCCUCUGCUACGUUGAUAUCCAUGAUGGCUUAUAUUGAUUAUCAACUUCACAGGAUCUAGAAUUGCCUGGGAGACAGACUUCUGGGCAUGUCUGUGAAAGCUUCCAGGUUGCAUUAAUUGAGUGGGAAACCUACCCUGAAUAUGAGGAGCAACAUUCAUGUUCUGGAGUCCCAGAACAAAUAAAAUGGAGAAAUGAGCUGAGCACCUGCAUUUAUCUUGAUGUGUUUCCAGACUGUGUAUGCCUCUGACCAUAGGCCUCACACUGGUGCUAUCAUGCCUUCUUUGCCAUUUGGAGUGUACCCUAAAUGUGAGACAAAAUAAAUGUUUCUGUCCUUAA